rnacentral:rRNA from 1 species
UGGGGAAUAUUGGACAAUGGGCGCAAGCCUGAUCCAGCAAUGCCGCGUGUGUGAAGAAGGCCUUCGGGUUGUAAAGCACUUUUAUCAGGAGCGAAACGCUGUCGGCUAAUACCCGGCGGAACUGACGGUACCUGAGGAAUAAGCACCGGCUAACUUCGUGCCAGCAGCCGCGGUAAUACGAAGGGUGCAAGCGUUAAUCGGAAUUACUGGGCGUAAAGCGUGCGUAGGCGGUUUCUUAAGUCUGCUGUGAAAUCCCCGGGCUCAACCUGGGAAUGGCAGUGGAUACUGGGAGGCUAGAGUGUGUCAGAGGGUGGUGGAAUUCCCGGUGUAGCGGUGAAAUGCGUAGAGAUCGGGAGGAACAUCAGUGGCGAAGGCGGCCACCUGGGGACAACACUGACGCUGAGGCACGAAAGCGUGGGGAGCAAACAGGAUUAGAUACCCUGGUAGUCCACGCCCUAAACGAUGCGAACUGGAUGUUGGUCUCAACUCGGAGAUCAGUGUCGAAGCUAACGCGUUAAGUUCGCCGCCUGGGGAGUACGGUCGCAAGACU